rnacentral:rRNA from 1 species
UACGUAGGGGGCAAGCGUUGUCCGGAAUCAUUGGGCGUAAAGCGCGUGUAGGCGGCCCGAUAAGUCCGCUGUGAAAGUCCAGGGCUCAACCCUGGAAUGCCGGUGGAUACUGUCGGGCUCGAGUCCGGAAGAGGCGAGUGGAAUUCCUGGUGUAGCGGUGAAAUGUGUAGAGAUCGGGAGGAACACCGGUGGCGAAGGCGGGUCUCUGGGCAAUUCCUGACGCUGAGGCGCGAAAGCGUGGGGAGCAAACGGG